GGCCUCCCUGGGCCGCAUCACGUCUGGCCUGGCUCAGGUGCAGCCUGGGACCUGGGCUUGCUCGGAGCCUCCCUGCGCGGCACCCCCAGGUUGCUAACCACAGGUCUUCCCCUCCUGUCAGUCGGUUGUCAGGAGGGCUGGCCCGCCCCUCCGCUGGGGUGCGUUUUCAGUCGGGGGCAGAAUUGCUGCCGGUGUGAGGCGUCGGGCCCUAUCUGCCGUCUGGAGGGCGGGAAGAGAGCACUGCAUAUAGAGUUUUGCUUUUCUUGCUUGUCAGCUGAGACCCUGCCAUCGUGAAAGUGUCCACACUGGCACAACUGCUCCAGCUCCUGCAUCCAGUGUGGGCUGCUGCACAGGACACGGCCGUAGCCCCAGGACAGAGCAGGCUGCUCCCAGCUCCCACUGCUGUAGCUGUCUCCCCUGAUGUGGUUGUCACCUUGGCGUCCUCCAGCCUGGCAGAGCCCAGCUCAUCAGGGUGGCUUCUGCUGGAACCACGGCCGGUCCAAAAGGCUCUUUAAUCACCACUUUAUUCAUUCACGGAACAUCUGCUGAGCCGGGCCUGUCCAGCAUCUGCAGGUGACACUGGGAACGGAGGAAAGGGGUCUGCCCUGGUGCUGCCCAGCAGACAGGUGCAGGCGGCCUGCGCUCCCCCCUCCACUCAUAUACACACCACACACACAAGCUCGGAUGCAUGCACACAUUCUCUCUCUCUCUCUCUGUCUCUCUCUCUCUCUCUGUCUCUCUCUCUCUCUCUCUAU
rnacentral:lncRNA from 1 species